AUCAGCUGUGGUCCGCCGUCGGCGAGCGGCUCAUGACCAGACCAGUCGCUUUUUUCCACGAUCGCCGGGACGUUUACAACAUUUUAAAGCAGUUUCAGCUCAAAAUGGACCCACUACCAGUUUGUGAGCUGAUAUGCAGUGGAAAUUGACAUCCAGAAGGAAGUCAUAAAGGAAACACCAGCUGAUACAAGUGCUGCAGAGGAUCUUUGCAGAAUUCACUCUAAUAUUAGGAAGAGAUUUAAGAUCCGAGUUCAACGCUGCAUUGGACACACUGCUCGUUUGAUUGAAAUUUUCAAAAAGAGGAGGAAAUUGCAGAAGAAAACUAGAUGAGAUUUUGCAACAAGUUUAUUCAAAGUCAUCUGAUGUAAUGCUUGUCCGUACAGCAGUUCUUCCGGGUCUUUCAGUACUUUUGAGGGAUGGGUCUAAAGAUUUUUUCUGGAUGUGUUUUGAUGUGGAUGUAGAUUCUGACUUCAGUGCAGUAGAUGUUGGCCUGCUGAUUGUCUUGUGUGAAGAUAUCUAAAGGACCUCAAUGUGGAUGCAAUGUGGGCCAUUAUACUGGAAGCAAAAGUGGUUAUGGAUGAUGUCCCUACUUUGCCACACGCAGUAUGUCUGCUUUUUUGUUUUGAUUUACGCACUGAAUUCGGACUACCCAAAGACUACAAGCAACGUAUUUACUCAACGUGUGUUGCUUUCGCUGGGAGGGAAGCUUAAUGUGUUUUGUUUUGUUUUUUUCUGCGAGUGCCUAUAUGCUGUUUAAUGUUUAAUGUUUAAAGGUUCUGUUAAAGGAUUUUCAAACAUUUUAAAAAACAUUGUUUUGUUUGUUUGCUUUUGCCAUGUUGCUGUUUGCAGUGUUACAUUCAGAAUUGCAGCAUUUUGGUGUUUAAAACACAUUUUUUUACCUAAAAAAUGUAUUGUGAUUCAUAGGGUUGUCAAAAGUAUUGAGUUUGGUACCAAUCAGUACUGAAAUUUUAAAGUUGCGAUUUCCAGCUAACAUUGCAAGAACUGAUUGGCCAUUGUGUUCACAUGCUCAACAGAUAUGACUGAUUGGCUAUGAAGUUCAUCGUUUUUACCAUUCUUCACCUCUGUUCACCAGGUGCAAAGAUACAAAGACACUGGAUUAUUUCAAAGCACUGUCGAUCAGUCGAUCCAUCAGCAGAUAGCUCAUAUGUCAGCUUAUAGACAGAUCAGCUGAUCGACAUGGCUUUGAAAUGGUUCAGUGUCUGUGUAACUUUGUUUGGACUGUGCAUGUGAACACAGUGGCCAAUCAGCUGUGUUUAAGAACAAGCUCAGUAGCGCUCAAAUAUUGGUGGUAAAUGGAUGUUUUUAAUAUUUCAGUAGUGAUUUAUACCAAAAUUCAGUACUGGUACCAAACUCAAUUCUUUUGACAACACUAAUGUGAUAUUUUCUGUAGGAAAAUCUAAACUUUACAGUCUAAAAAAAUCAGCUUUAAAGCUAAACAUCUGUUCCUCUGUGAGUGUCUACAUGCUGCCAUGUUUAAAGGUGCUGGGGCAAUGGCAUGUUUCAUUACACUAAUUUAAGUAUCUUUUUUUC